UCUGGCACCUUCGGUGUCCGAGUUGUAAUCUCUAGAAAUGUUUUCCGCGUUGGACCGCACACAAGUCUGUUGGAAUACAGCGGCAUAGUGGUGAGACCCCCGUAUAUGGUGCGGACGCCCAGCGCUUUGUGAUACAUUUUCGAAGAGUCGAGUUGUUUGGGAAUGCAGCUCAAAUUGGGUGGUAAAUUCCAUCUAAAGCUAAAUAUUGGCGAGAGACCGAUAGCGAACAAGUACCGUGAGGGAAAGAUGAAAAGCACUUUGGAAAGAGAGUUAACAGUACGUGAAAUUGUUGGAAGGGAAACGCUUGAAGUCAGACUUGCUUGCCGAGCAAUCGGUUUGCAGGCCA
rnacentral:rRNA from 1 species